rnacentral:rRNA from 1 species
GACGAACGCUGGCGGCGUGCUUAACACAUGCAAGUCGAACGGUGAAGCGCCUUCCUUUUUGGUGGGUGUGGAUGAGUGGCGAACGGGUGAGUAACACGUUAGUAACCUGCCCCCUUCUUCUGGAUAACCGCAUGAAAGUGUGGCUAAUACGGGAUAUUCUGGGUCUGUCGCAUGAUGGGUCUGGGAAAGAUAUUGUUUCGGUGGGGGAUGGGCUCGCGGCCUAUCAGCUUGUUGGUGGGGUGAUGGCCUACCAAGGCGGUGAGGGGUAGCCGGCCUGGGAGGGUGGACGGUCACACUGGGAAUGAGACGCGGCCCAGACUCCGACGGGAGGCAGCAGUGGGGAAUAUUGCACAAUGGGCGCAAGCCUGAUGCAGCGACGCCGCGUGAGGGAUGGAGGCCUGCGGGUUGUGAACCUCUUUCGCCAGUGAAGCAGGCCUGCCUCGUUUGUGGGUGGGUUGACGGUAGCUGGAUAAGAAGCGCCGGCUAACUACGUG